rnacentral:rRNA from 1 species
UACGUAGGGGGCAAGCGUUGUCCGGAAUCAUUGGGCGUAAAGCGCGUGUAGGCGGCCCGGUAAGUCCGCUGUGAAAGUCGGGGGCUCAACCCUCGAAAGCCGGUGGAUACUGUCGGACUAGAGUGCGGAAGAGGCGAGUGGAAUUCCUGGUGUAGCGGUGAAAUGCGCAGAUAUCAGGAGGAACACCAAUUGCGAAGGCAGCUCGCUGGGACGUUACUGACGCUGAGACGCGAAAGCGUGGGGAGCAAACAGG